GGUUAAGCGACUAAGCGUACACGGUGGAUGCCCUGGCAGUCAGAGGCGAUGAAGGACGUGCUAAUCUGCGAAAAGCGACGGCGAGGUGAUAUGAACCUUUGACCCGUCGAUGUCCGAAUGGGGAAACCCAGUGUGUUCCGACACACUAUCGUUAACUGAAUACAUAGGUUAACGAGGCGAACCGGGGGAACUGAAACAUCUAAGUACCCCGAGGAAAAGAAAUCAACCGAGAUUCCCCCAGUAGCGGCGAGCGAACGGGGAGCAGCCCGGAGUCUGAAUCAGCUUGUGUGUUAGUGGAACGGUCUGGAAAGUCCGACGGUACAGGGUGAUAGUCCCGUACACGAAAAUGCACAUGCUGUGAACUCGAAGAGUAGGGCGGGACACAUGGUAUCCUGUCUGAAUAUGGGGGGACCAUCCUCCAAGGCUAAAUACUCCUGACUGACCGAUAGUGAACCAGUACCGUGAGGGAAAGGCGAAAAGAACCCCGGCGAGGGGAGUGAAAAAGAACCUGAAACCGUGUACGUACAAGCAGUGGGAGCCUCUUUAUGGGGUGACUGCGUACCUUUUGUAUAAUGGGUCAGCGACUUAUAUUCUGUAGCAAGGUUAACCGUAUAGGGGAGCCGAAGGGAAACCGAGUCUUAACUGGGCGUUAAGUUGCAGGGUAUAGACCCGAAACCCGGUGAUCUAGCCAUGGGCAGGUUGAAGGUUGGGUAACACUAACUGGAGGACCGAACCGACUAAUGUUGAAAAAUUAGCGGAUGACCUGUGGCUGGGGGUGAAAGGCCAAUCAAACCGGGAGAUAGCUGGUUCUCCCCGAAAGCUAUUUAGGUAGCGCCUCGUGAACUCAUCUUCGGGGGUAGAGCACUGUUUCGGCUAGGGGGCCAUCCCGGCUUACCAACCCGAUGCAAACUACGAAUACCGAAGAAUGUUAUCACGGGAGACACACGGCGGGUGCUAACGUCCGUCGUGAAGAGGGAAACAACCCAGACCGCCAGCUAAGGUCCCAAAGUCAUGGUUAAGUGGGAAACGAUGUGGGAAGGCACAGACAGCCAGGAUGUUGGCUUAGAAGCAGCCAUCAUUUAAAGAAAGCGUAAUAGCUCACUGGUCGAGUCGGCCUGCGCGGAAGAUGUAACGGGGCUAAACCAUGCACCGAAGCUGCGGCAGCGACACUAUGUGUUGUUGGGUAGGGGAGCGUUCUGUAAGCCGUUGAAGGUGUGCUGUGAGGCAUGCUGGAGGUAUCAGAAGUGCGAAUGCUGACAUAAGUAACGAUAAAGCGGGUGAAAAGCCCGCUCGCCGGAAGACCAAGGGUUCCUGUCCAACGUUAAUCGGGGCAGGGUGAGUCGACCCCUAAGGCGAGGCCGAAAGGCGUAGUCGAUGGGAAACAGGUUAAUAUUCCUGUACUUGGUGUUACUGCGAAGGGGGGACGGAGAAGGCUAUGUCAGCCGGGCGACGGUUGUCCCGGUUUAAGCAUGUAGGCGGAGGUUCCAGGUAAAUCCGGUACCUUUUAACGCUGAGGUGUGAUGACGAGGCACUACGGUGCUGAAGUGAUAAAUGCCCUGCUUCCAGGAAAAGCCUCUAAGCAUCAGGUAACACGAAAUCGUACCCCAAACCGACACAGGUGGUCAGGUAGAGAAUACCAAGGCGCUUGAGAGAACUCGGGUGAAGGAACUAGGCAAAAUGGUGCCGUAACUUCGGGAGAAGGCACGCUGAUAUGUAGGUGAAGCCCCUGCGGGCGGAGCUGAAAUCAGUCGAAGAUACCAGCUGGCUGCAACUGUUUAUUAAAAACACAGCACUGUGCAAACACGAAAGUGGACGUAUACGGUGUGACGCCUGCCCGGUGCCGGAAGGUUAAUUGAUGGGGUUAGCGGCAACGCGAAGCUCUUGAUCGAAGCCCCGGUAAACGGCGGCCGUAACUAUAACGGUCCUAAGGUAGCGAAAUUCCUUGUCGGGUAAGUUCCGACCUGCACGAAUGGCGUAAUGAUGGCCAGGCUGUCUCCACCCGAGACUCAGUGAAAUUGAACUCGCUGUGAAGAUGCAGUGUACCCGCGGCAAGACGGAAAGACCCCGUGAACCUUUACUAUAGCUUGACACUGAACACUGGUCCUUGAUGUGUAGGAUAGGUGGGAGGCUUUGAAGCGUGGACGCCAGUCUGCGUGGAGCCGCCCUUGAAAUACCACCCUUUAAUGGCUGGUGUUCUAACGUAGACCCGUGAUCCGGGUUGCGGACAGUGUCUGGUGGGUAGUUUGACUGGGGCGGUCUCCUCCCAAAGAGUAACGGAGGAGCACGAAGGUUGGCUAAUCCUGGUCGGACAUCAGGAGGUUAGUGCAAUGGCAUAAGCCAGCUUGACUGCGAGCGUGACGGCGCGAGCAGGUGCGAAAGCAGGUCAUAGUGAUCCGGUGGUUCUGAAUGGAAGGGCCAUCGCUCAACGGAUAAAAGGUACUCCGGGGAUAACAGGCUGAUACCGCCCAAGAGUUCAUAUCGACGGCGGUGUUUGGCACCUCGAUGUCGGCUCAUCACAUCCUGGGGCUGAAGUAGGUCCCAAGGGUAUGGCUGUUCGCCAUUUAAAGUGGUACGCGAGCUGGGUUUAGAACGUCGUGAGACAGUUCGGUCCCUAUCUGCCGUGGGCGCUGGAGAAUUGAGGGGGGCUGCUCCUAGUACGAGAGGACCGGAGUGGACGCAUCACUGGUGUUCGGGUUGUCAUGCCAAUGGCACUGCCCGGUAGCUAAAUGCGGAAGAGAUAAGUGCUGAAAGCAUCUAAGCACGAAACUUGCCCCGAGAUGAGUUCUCCCUGAGACUUUAAGUCUCCUGAAGGAACGUUGAAGACGACGACGUUGAUAGGUCGGGUGUGUAAGCGCAGCGAUGCGUUGAGCUAACCGAUACUAAUGAACCGUGAGGCUUAACCUU
rnacentral:rRNA from 1 species